GAGGCUUUAUCUUAAUUAAAGUGUCUGAUUUGCACUCAGAAGAUAUAGGUUAAUGUCCUAUAGGUCUUA
rnacentral:tRNA from 2 species